GAAGGUAUAGCUCAGUGGUAGAGUGCGUGCCUAGAAUGCACAAGGUCCUGGGUUCAAUCCCCGGUAGCUCUG
rnacentral:tRNA from 1 species